rnacentral:misc_RNA from 1 species
CCGAGUUUACAACUCCCAAACCCUUUGCGAACCUUACCUUUGUUGCUUCGGCGGGGUUGCCCCGGUGCCUCGUUGCCCGGAUCAAGGCGCCCGCCGGAGGCCCCAAACUCUUGUUUCGAACCUUUUGGAUUUUCUGAGUGGCACAAACAAAUAAAUCA